rnacentral:misc_RNA from 1 species
CAGCCGGGUAAUUCCAGCUCCAAUAGCGUAUAUUAGUGUUGUUGCGGUUAAAAAGCUCGUAGUUGAAUUUCGGGAUUGGGAUAUAUCGGUCGUGCCUUUAGGGGCAUGAAUCGGUGUGUGGCCAAUUCUCACCUUCUGGUGAAUUGGGAUGCUCUCGGGUGUUUCAAUGAACUAGGACUUUUACUUUGAAAAAAUUAGAGUGUUUAAAGCGGGCAUUUUUGCUUGAAUACGUUAGCAUGGAAUAAUAAAAUAGGACGAUGGUUCUAUUUUGUUGGUUUUAGGACCACGUAAUGAUUAAUAGGGAUAGUUGGGGGCAUUAGUAUUCAAUUGUCAGAGGUGAAAUUCUUGGAUUUAUUGAGGACUAACUACUGCGAAAGCAUUUGCCAAGGAUGUUUUCAUUAAUCAAGAACGAAAGUUAGGGGAUCAAAGACGAUUUAUGUACGUCGUAGUCUUAACCAUAAACUAUGCCGACUAGGAAUCAGACAAAGUUAAUUUUUUAACGACUUGUUUGGCACCUUAUG